CCGUUUUACAGACACGUGGAGCGACAUGGUAAGACGUUUGAAAGUCGCCAUGCAAAACCGCAGCCGCAGCCGGCCACCGGAAACACACCGUUGCCUGCGUGCAACCGCAACCAUCCCGCCGUCACCGCCUUAAUAUAACAAGGACAUGGUGAGAAGAAUCCUUGUCAGGAUGCAACUAGGUGGAGAAAAGUAUUAAUGUUCAUUGAAUAGCAAAGCAGAAACAUAUACAUAAAGUUUCAAAGGAUCACGGAUGCCUCAUGUGUGAAAAGGUUUGAUCCAUUCUUUGUCAGUAUUAAUGGCUGAAACCAGGUAUCGUGCUUUGGAGCCACAAGUAUUUUUCUUUAUGCUUAACUUUCCUCUUAGGACUUCUCCCCUAAAAGUCCCAUUUGAAAAAGAAAGUUUAAAGAAAAUGGUGUGAUCUUAACAUUUAAGUUAUGUGUCAAUAUUGUUUAGUUCACCUUUCAGCAUUAAUCGUUGGAAUGAAAUAAACUCUUCUAUUGAAACAAUUUACUAAGUCACAAUGGUUGAAAGGGAGGAAUGAGAUUGCAUUUUCUAUUAUUGAGUGGUAAAGUCAGCACACUGUGGUUUGACCUUUUUGAUAAUCAUCUCUCCCAAACCAUUCAAUUUGGUAGUAAGUAUUUUUGAAAUUCUGUUCCACUAUAGCUUCUGGUUUUGGAAUACCAGUGACUCAAUACUGAGAUUGCUCUCAUGGUUAUGUUUGUUUGAUGGAGCAAGAAAGUGUGAAGAGUCAACAAAUGGCAGAGCAGAAAUAGAUACUUUUAUUGCCUUUGGAUUAGGAGGGACCUCUUUGGUUACAUGUAUGCAAUAUACCAAGUAUCAGGCAUUCAGGCUUUGGAGCCUCAAAUUUUCAACUUAACAGGAGCCUCAACUUUUCAACUUAAUCUUUAUUUUUUCCAUUCUGAGGCAAUAGGUAUUUGUUCUGCUUAUCUCUCAUGUUGGAGUAUUCACUAUACUAAACGAAUCUGGGUCCAAAUAGUUUUUGAGUGAGUGCUUUAGGACCAGAGAGCAGCUAUUGAUGAACACCGUGUUUCAUUCAAAAAGAGCAAGGUUCAGACAAAAGGAGGACCUUGAUGGAAAGCACAAAGCAGUUCUGAGCUUCAAUUAGAUUGCCACACCCAAAAAGUUCUACAUGGCUUUUUGAGUGCCUAAGGUAAUAAUUACAACAAGAUCGAGAGCUGGAAUAGUUAAUGGGCUUAUCUCAUUAUUGAAACAACCAGUUAUGCUUAAGAAUACACUAAUUGAAGUAACUCUAAAAAGUGUCUCUGUUUUUGGAUUCAGAAUGAUGGAACAAUUCCGUAUCCACUUUCUGCCAUCAAUGGUGCAUAGAAAAUCUGAUCAACUUCGGUAUCUACAUCUGUUCUCUUUGCAAAUCGACCUUUUAUUCUUGGCCUGGUUUCUGCAUAGGCCUUUCUUGAGGCGUACCUGAUUGUCUUCUCAAACUUGCGGGUCUUCUUCUUCUCUCUGUACCUGAGAACUCUGGCCUCCCUGUCCAUUUGAGUAAGCUGAAGCUGUUGAGGCAUCUGAAUUGGAGGACCUGAGAAGAGGUCAAUUGUUCCUUUCGGGGGUCUUGAGUGGGAGAUUGAGACAUCACUCAAGGUAGACUCUGGAACAACACCAACAUCCAUGGAAGAAAUGGAGACCUGGUCACCCAAAAUCACAAAAUAUACCAGUUAGGCGAUCCAUUUCCUUGAGAUUUGAGAAUCAUAAUUAGUCUUUAGGGGAAGUUGCAUACCUUGGUUCCCGAAUGAGAAACAGGACUAGCAAGUGAAUGACUAAAAUGAUCUCGUAGAAAUAUCUUGACGUUGGGUUUUAUUGGAAUAUUGAUAUAAUGAUAUCUUAAAUUCCUUAUGGAAAAAAAAAUGUCUUACCUGAAGUGAGACAAUUGGAUAUGAUGAAGAAAACUUACGCUGUGACUGAUGGACGCUGGAUAACCAUAUCCAGUGUUAAAAUUCUCAUAUUCCAUUCCUUGCAGCUGAAAAUUGCGGUGGUGGUUAUGCUGCAGUGCCUGUGUAUAAUGGAAUUGAUUUUUCCCGUGAUUGGGGACGAUGCUAUCCCCUCCAUAGCUCAUAUUCCUCUGAGGAACAGAGUAAUUCUGCUGCUGAUUUGUGCUAUUAUACUUGUCAUCAAACAGGUUGUCAUGGCAUGAACUAAACUCAGCAAGGUCCAAGAUUGGGAUUAGGAUUGGGAUUAGGAUUAGGAUUAAGCAGCAGCCAAGAAGCCGCCUCGUCUUCAUCUUCAUCCAUGGUAGUUUCCUCUGCAUCCUGAGUCAAGAACCCAUUGUCCUCCGCGGCAUCUCCCGUCAGCCCAAC